GCUGGGCAUGGUGGCGCAUGCCUGUAAUCCCAGCUACUUGGAGGCUGAGGCAGGAGAAUCGCUUGAACCCAGGAGGUGAAGGUUGCAGUGAGUGGAGAUUGCGCCACUGCACUCUAGCCUAGGCAACAGAGCAAGACUCUGUCUCAA
rnacentral:SRP_RNA from 1 species